rnacentral:sRNA from 1 species
AAUAAUUAUUAAUUCAUUAUCAUCAAACUUAGGAUAUUUACGUUUUGGGCGGAAAAAUCAAGGGUUUACGUUUUGGGCGGGAAAAUCACGGGUUUACGGUUUUGGCGGGAAAAUCACGGGUUUAUGUUUUUUGGUGGAAAAAUUACGAGUUUACUUUUUCUCAAUUUUAUCGCUUGUAUAUUUAAGAAAUUUGGAAAAAUAUUGAUUUUAUUAAAUUGGUUUAGAUAUGUUGGUUAAACUUAAAUUGGCAUUGGUUUAAAGAUUUUAGUUGGUUUAGUUCAAUUUUACAAAACUUGAUGAGUUAAUUGGGUAAACCAUUGAAACCAUUAAUCAUUACAACCCAACUCAUUUUACUCAUCAAACCAAUUGACUCAAUAACUCAUUUGACUCAUCAACCCAUUUGAGUCCAAAUUUUUAACUCAUUAGGGUUCAUGGGUUGAGUUGAGUUGAGUUUGACGCAUGAAUUUUGACAUAUUUUGACACCCUAAUUGUCAUACUGUCAUAAUCUGGUAUAAAUAGUUAAAAUUUA